CCCCUAAGGCGAGGCCGAAAGGCGUAGUCGAUGGGAAACAGGUUAAUAUUCCUGUACUUGGUGUUACUGCGAAGGGGGGACGGAGAAGGCUAUGUUAGCCGGGCGACGGUUGUCCCGGUUUAAGCAUGUAGGCUGGUUGUCCAGGCAAAUCCGGAUAAUCAAGGCUGAGGUGUGAUGACGAGGCACUACGGUGCUGAAGUAACAAAUGCCCUGCUUCCAGGAAAAGCCUCUAAGCAUCAGGUAACAUCAAAUCGUACCCCAAACCGACACAGGUGGUCAGGUAGAGAAUACCAAGGCGCUUGAGAGAACUCGGGUGAAGGAACUAGGCAAAAUGGUGCCGUAACUUCGGGAGAAGGCACGCUGGUGUGUAGGUGAAGUCCCUGCGGAUGGAGCUGAGACCAGUCGAAGAUACCAGCUGGCUGCAACUGUUUAUUAAAAACACAGCACUGUGCAAACACGAAAGUGGACGUAUACGGUGUGACGCCUGCCCGGUGCCGGAAGGUUAAUUGAUGGGGUUAUCCGUAAGGAGAAGCUCUUGAUCGAAGCCCCGGUAAACGGCGGCCGUAACUAUAACGGUCCUAAGGUAGCGAAAUUCCUUGUCGGGUAAGUUCCGACCUGCACGAAUGGCGUAAUGAUGGCCAGGCUGUCUCCACCCGAGACUCAGUGAAAUUGAACUCGCUGUGAAGAUGCAGUGUACCCGCGGCAAGACGGAAAGACCCCGUGAACCUUUACUAUAGCUUGACACUGAACAUUGAGCCUUGAUGUGUAGGAUAGGUGGGAGGCUUUGAAGCGUGGACGCCAGUCUGCGUGGAGCCAACCUUGAAAUACCACCCUUUAAUGUUUGAUGUUCUAACGUUGGCCCCUUACCGGGGUUGCGGACAGUGUCUGGUGGGUAGUUUGACUGGGGCGGUCUCCUCCCAAAGCGUAACGGAGGAGCACGAAGGUUAGCUAAUCCUGGUCGGACAUCAGGAGGUUAGUGCAAUGGCAUAAGCUAGCUUGACUGCGAGCGUGACGGCGCGAGCAGGUGCGAAAGCAGGUCAUAGUGAUCCGGUGGUUCUGAAUGGAAGGGCCAUCGCUCAACGGAUAAAAGGUACUCCGGGGAUAACAGGCUGAUACCGCCCAAGAGUUCAUAUCGACGGCGGUGUUUGGCACCUCGAUGUCGGCUCAUCACAUCCUGGGGCUGAAGUAGGUCCCAAGGGUAUGGCUGUUCGCCAUUUAAAGUGGUACGCGAGCUGGGUUUAGAACGUCGUGAGACAGUUCGGUCCCUAUCUGCCGUGGGCGCUGGAGAAUUGAGGGGGGCUGCUCCUAGUACGAGAGGACCGGAGUGGACGCAUCACUGGUGUUCGGGUUGUCAUGCCAAUGGCACUGCCCGGUAGCUAAAUGCGGAAGAGAUAAGUGCUGAAAGCAUCUAAGCACGAAACUUGCCCCGAGAUGAGUUCUCCCUGAGACUUUAAGUCUCCUGAAGGAACGUUGAAGACGACGACGUUGAUAGGCCGGGUGUGUAAGCGCAGCGAUGCGUUGAGCUAACCGGUACUAAUGAACCGUGAGGCUUAACCUU
rnacentral:rRNA from 1 species